rnacentral:misc_RNA from 1 species
GAUGAAGAACGUUAGCGAAAUGCGAUAAGUAAUGUGAAUUGCAGAAUUCAGUGAAUCAUCGAAUCUUUGAACGCACAUUGCGCCCCCUGGUAUUCCGGGGGGCAUGCCUGUUCGAGCGUCAUUUCACCACUCAAGCCUCGCUUGGUAUUGGGCAACGCGGUCCGCCGCGUGCCUCAAAUCGACCGGCUGGGUCUUCUGUCCCCUAAGCGUUGUGGAAACUAUUCGCUAAAGGGUGUUCGGGAGGCUACGCCGUAAAACAACCCCAUUUCUAAGGUUGACCUCGGAUCAGGUAGGGAUACCCGCUGAACUUAAGCAUAUCAAUAAGCGGAGGA